rnacentral:rRNA from 1 species
CCUACGGGUGGCAGCAGUGAGGAAUAUUGGUCAAUGGACGCAAGUCUGAACCAGCCAUGCCGCGUGCAGGAAGACGGCUCUAUGAAUUGUAAACUGCUUUUGUACGAGAGGAAACACAGGUACGUGUCUCUGUCUGAAAGGAUCGUCCGAAUAAGGAUCGGCUAACUCCGUUCCAGCAGCCGCGGUAAUACGGAGGAUUCAAGCGUUAUCCGGAUUUAUUGGGUUUAAAGGGUGCGUAGGCGGUCGGAUAAGUUAGAGGUCAAAUCCCGAGGCUCAACCUAGGAAUUGCCUUUGAUACUGUUAGGCUAGAGAGUAGUUGAGGUAGGCGGAAUGUAUGGUGUAGCGGUGAAAUGCUUAGAGAUCAUACAGAACACCGAUUGCGAAGGCAGCGUACCAAGCUACUUCUGACGUUGAGGCACGAAAGCGUGGGGAGCAAACAGGAUUAGAUACCCGAGUAGUC